UACGAAGGUCCCGAGCGUUGUUCGGAAUCACUGGGCGUAAAGGGCGCGUAGGCGGUGCGGUAAGUCACCUGUGAAAUCUCCUGGCUCAACUGGGAGCUUGCAGGCGAAACUGCCGUGCUGGAGUGUGGGAGAGGUGCGUGGAAUUCCCGGUGUAGCGGUGGAAUGCGUAGAUAUCGGGAGGAACACCUGUGGCGAAAGCGGCGCACUGGACCACAACUGACGCUGAGGCGCGAAAGCUAGGGGGAGCAAACAGG
rnacentral:rRNA from 1 species